rnacentral:rRNA from 1 species
AACGAACGCUGGCGGCAGGCCUAACACAUGCAAGUCGAACGCCGUAGCAAUACGGAGUGGCAGACGGGUGAGUAACACGUGGGAACGUACCUUUCGGUUCGGAAUAACUCAGGGAAACUUGAGCUAAUACCGGAUACGUGCGAGAGCAGAAAGAUUUAUCGCCGAAAGAUCGGCCCGCGUCCGAUUAGCUAGUUGGUGAGGUAAUGGCUCACCAAGGCGACGAUCGGUAGCUGGUCUGAGAGGAUGAUCAGCCACACUGGGACUGAGACACGGCCCAGACUCCUACGGGAGGCAGCAGUGGGGAAUAUUGGACAAUGGGCGCAAGCCUGAUCCAGCCAUGCCGCGUGAGUGAUGAAGGCCCUAGGGUUGUAAAGCUCUUUCGCCAGGGACGAUAAUGACGGUACCUGGAUAAGAAGCCCCGGCUAACUUCGUG